rfam:Homo sapiens chromosome 2, GRCh38 reference primary assembly.
GCCCUUGUAGUAUAAUUCAAUACUCUGGUCUUGUAAACCAGAAAUGGAGGAUCUCCUCCCCAGGACA